rnacentral:pre_miRNA from 1 species
UUGAGAGGCCGAGGCAGGCGGAUCACGAGGUCAGGAGAUCGAGANUCUCGAUCUCCUGACCUCGUGAUCCGCCCGUCUCGGCCUCCCAA